GUUGCCCCGAGCCGUUGGCGGCCGCGCGGGGCUCGGCGUCGCCUCCGCCUAAUUACACCUUUCGUCUGAAAAAUACCGCCCUGAAAAUCCGGCCGGCCGGGGGAGGAACGCUCCGGCUCGUGGGUUUUGGGUCUUUUUGGUUUUUUUUCCUUUAGCGGCAUCUGUGCCGAGCUUUUUAGGAAAGCUCCAGGUGAUAGUACGGGCCCCGUUUGCCUCGAAUUUAGAUUAUUUAAAACACACUGAUUCAUCGCGGUAGUGUCUUCCCCUCUGAAAUGCCUUUCAUGCCGUAGGAAUCUGUGGUGUAACGCAAGCAAAUCCACAGCGGGCUCAGUGCUGAAAUUAGACCAUCUCUGGCAUGGAAAAUGGCAGCCGCUUAAUAGUGUGUGGCAGCGUUUUUCACCUCAAAAUAUGUCAAGGAUGCGGUACCAGUGGGCCUUAAACCAAUACCAUCUUCAGGUCAACUCAUAACUUAGGUUAACUUGGCCUUCCCUGGAAGUGGGAUGAACUGGGAGAAAGAUCGCCCGCUUCUGGCCCAUUUGACCAAGGGUCAGUGGAAAUCAGUGAAGUCUGGCAUUCCCUGAAAGCCCACUAAACCCAGUAUCUCUUGGAGCUCAUAGGAAGGAAAUAAUUCAGGAACAUAUGCCCUCAUUUGGAUAAUCAGCAAAAGACCCUCAGCUGCUUCUUCCCACAAGAAGCAUCUAUAUAAUAAAUUUUUCUAGACUGGCUUUUUUGCCAGCUUACGUUGACAGUCUUAUAUAUCCAUGUAGAUGAAGAUAAAAUACAGCAUCAAGGUUAAAAAAAAGGAAAAUCCUGUGCAUUUGUCUUAGAUUUAUGGAAAAAUAUGUAUUGUUCAGAAUCACUCAGCUAUAUGUCAACUCAGUGGCCUGAAGCUACAGAGGACAGUGACUCUCCCUCCACCUUACGCUGUCGAAAAGGAAGGACAGGUGGGCUCUGCAGGUGAGGAGACCGCUUUCUGUUGGUGAGCGUGGGAAGGGGGUCCAAGAGCUCGGACAAAGGUCUUUGAAAGCAAGAAACUUUUUCAUGCCAGCUCCUGGUGAGUGGAGAAACAUACAGAGAAUUUACGUCUGGAAGCUUUUUACUCAGAAACUCUCAAAGAAACAUCUUUAAAAACAACUAAAAAUAUAAACCAGCACUGUAGCAUACUUCUGGUUUUUGUGACCUCUCCAAAACCUUUGCGCAGGCAUUUCCUGAUUCCUGCAUUCUGCAGAUUUAGAACCAAAAGAGCCUGAAGAGCAGUACAGGGAUUGUUCCUGACAUCGUCAAAAAAGGUCUCGUGACUUCUGUUCACGCAAACUCCUCAGAAGAGAAGGAGGGAAAGGAGACAAGAGAAGCAUACUUAAAUCCUUUAGUCAAGUCAAACUAUCCAGGUACUGUUACUACUAAGAGUCUUCUAAAAGGACUGUCUUGUCCGAGGAGUUGCACAUCAUGAGUGCUGGUUUUACACCCUCACUGCAGAUUGUGGCUCUGCUCUCUUCUGGUUCGCCUUGGGACAGGAUUAUAAUGAGUAAAGACAACAGAUACUCCCAGGAUAUCUGCAGAUGAAGAGAAAGGAAGGCAAAGAAGAAAGAUUAAAAUAUCUGACUUCAUUGAGUUAGAUCUUCAGGACAGGUGUCUGAAAUUUCUCCCUCGUGAUAGCCUGGAAGCAAGUACAAGACAACUGAUAGGUGUCAAGUUAGUUGCUGGUGAAGAGCCUGCUAAUGAGGGAAUGGAACACAGAUUAAAAAGUCUGCUUGAGAAAAAGUUGUUUUUCAGGCUAGGUAUCUGAAAUAUCCUUUGUCUGAUGCACUGGAACUAGGUUAUGAAAGAAAAACUGGAAAUCAAUUGAAACAAAAAUGUUUGCUUUGCUGCUAAUUGUUCUGAAAACUAGUGACGACCAAUACUUCUCAACAAAAGGCAGAAUUAACUAACUUUGUUCUCCUGUUCUUAUUCCUGUCAGAGGAAGCAAUGUGCUGGGACUAGUAAAAGAACUAUAAUUAAACUCCACCCAUCUUGAAAUGCAGGUGAAGAGAUCGUAAUUCAUGAAACAUUAAUAUCCAUACAAUUACAACCUGGGCACAGAACUAUUACUGAUUCAUUAAUAAUGAGCUAAUGUCCACUCACAGUCCUCAGUGAGGAUCUCCCGUUUAUAUUUGUUUUGUGACUCUGAUCUUUUUUCAAACCUGAAUUUGUAAACAGAGAGGAAUUUUGACACCUCAUUGCAAAGCACAUGAAGUAUAUGAACUUUUUACCCUGGGAAAUGCCUUUUAAAAAAUAAUCAAUACAUUACUUUCAUACUAAUAUGGCAAUUUUAUGGAUUUGUUUUUUGUUUAUUCCAAAGGAACAAUAGUCUGGUGCCUGUAUUAGGUUCCUGAAAAAGUUACACUUCUUUGAGGUAUUUUGGGAGGCUUUACUAAUAAAGGAAGAGUAGCACUGUUGGGUCAGAUCAAAGGUCCAUUUAAUUCAGGAGCCUGUCUCCGACAGUUGUCCAACUAUCUCCAACAGCAUAGAUGCCAAGGGAAAAGAACAGACUUCCUCAGACAACAUUGUCUGCCUUCACAUUCACAGUCUGUAAACAAUACAUUGUGAUUUUUUUACUCAUACAAAGAACAUUCAUGACAAAGCAACAGAACCACUAAUAGUUUAUACUCUG